CCUACGGGCGGCUGCAGUGAGGAAUAUUGGUCAAUGGGCGCGAGCCUGAACCAGCCAAGCAGCGUGAAGGAUGACUGCUCUCCGGGUUGUAAACUUUUUUUAUAAAGGAAUAAAGUGAUGCACGUGUGCCUUUUUGUAUGUACUUUAUGAAUAAGGAUCGGCUAACUCCGUGCCAGCAGCCGCGGUAAUACGGAGGAUCCGAGCGUUAUCCGGAUUUAUUGGGUUUAAAGGGAGCGUAGAUGGGUUGUUAAGUCAGUUGUGAAAGUUUGCGGCUCAACCGUAAAAUUGCAAUUGAUACUGGCAGACUUGAGUACAGUUGAGGUAAGCGGAAUUCGAGGUGUAGCGGUGAAAUGCUUAGAUAUCACGAAGAACUCCGAUUGCGAAGGCAGCUUACUAGACUGCCACUGACAUUGAUGCUCGAAAGUGUGGGUAUCAAACAGGAUUAGAUACCCCAGUAGUC
rnacentral:rRNA from 1 species